rnacentral:misc_RNA from 1 species
GCCUUUGAUUGAGUUUGCUUACAAUAACAGCUACCAAUCAAGCAUUGAAAUGCUUCCAUAUGAAGCUUUGUAUGGCAGAAAAUGCAGAACUCUCCUAUAUUGGAAUGAAGUAGGUGAAAGAAAGUUGAUUAGGCCCGAAAUUGUUCAGCAGACCAAGAAGAAGAUCAGGGUGAUCAGAGAUCGACUUAAGACUGCAUCAGACCGUCAGAAGUCCUACAUUGAUUUGAAAAGAAGGGAUAUUGAGUAUGCAGUGGGUGAGAAAGUAUUCCUCAAGGUUUCCCCUUGGAAGAGGAUUAUGAGAUUCGGCAGAAAGGGAAAACUGAGUCCUCGUUUCAUUGGGUCAUAUGAGGUUCUGGAAAGAGUGGAUCCUUUGGCAUAUCGGUUGGCACUACCUCCAGAGUUGGAAAAGAUACAUAAUGUCUUCCAU